GGGGCAGUAGCUCAGUGGUUAGAGCGGCGGACUCAUAACCCGUUGGUCGCUGGUUCAAUCCCAGCCUGCCCCA
rnacentral:tRNA from 1 species